AGAACGAACGCUGGCGGCGUGCCUGAGACAUGCAAGUCGUGGGAGAAAGUCGGAGCAAUCCGGCGAGUAAACCGGCGCACGGGUGAGUAACACGUGGACAACCUGCCCUGGAGACUGGGAUAACCCGUCGAAAGACGGACUAAUACCGGAUAAGACCACGAGGGGUUCGCCCCUUGGGGUAAAAGGUGGCCUCUGCUUUUGCAAGCUAAUACUUCAAGAAGGGUCCGCGUCCUAUCAGCUAGUUGGUGAGGUGACGGCUCACCAAGGCGAAGACGGGUAGC
rnacentral:rRNA from 1 species